rnacentral:rRNA from 1 species
AGCCAGACUCCUACGGGAGGCAGCAGUGAGGAAUAUUGGUCAAUGGGCGCGAGCCUGAACCAGCCAAGUAGCGUGAAGGAUGACUGCCCUACGGGUUGUAAACUUCUUUUAUAAAGGAAUAAAGUAAGGCACGUGUGCCUUUUUGUAUGUACUUUAUGAAUAAGGAUCGGCUAACUCCGUGCCAGCAGCCGCGGUAAUACGGAGGAUCCGAGCGUUAUCCGGAUUUAUUGGGUUUAAAGGGAGCGUAGAUGGGUUGUUAAGUCAGUUGUGAAAGUUUGCGGCUCAACCGUGGAAUUGCAGUUGAAACUGGAGGCCUUGAGUGCACACAGGGGUGCCGGAAUUCAUGGUGUAGCGGUGAAAUGCUUAGAUGUCAUGAAGAACUCCGAUCGCGAAGGCAAGUGUCCGGGGUGCAACUGACGCUGAGGCUCGAAAGUGCGGGUAUCAAACAGGAUUAGAUACCCUAGUAG